rnacentral:rRNA from 1 species
UACGUAGGGACCAAGCGUUGUUCGGAUUUACUGGGCGUAAAGGGCGCGUAGGCGCAAUUCAAGUCAUCUGUGAAAUCUCCGGGCUUAACUCGGAACGGUCAGAUGAUACUGCUUGCUAGAGUACAGAAGGGGCAAUCGGAAUUCUUGGUGUAGCGGUGAAAUGCGUAGAUAUCAGGAGGAACACCUGAGGUGAAGACGGGUUGCUGGGCUGAUACUGACGUGAGGCGCGAAAGCUAGGGUAGCAAACGGG